rnacentral:sRNA from 1 species
GCUGGAUGUGGUGGUACACACCUGUAGUCCCAGCUACUUGGGAGGCUGAGGUGGGAGGAUUGCUUGAGCCUGGGAGGUCAAGGCUGCAGUGAACCAUGGUUGCACCACUGCACUCCAGCCUAGGCAACAGAGUGAGAUCUUAUCUCAA